rnacentral:misc_RNA from 1 species
UCAGGUUGUGAAAAGUUCUUCAUCAGGUUGUGAAAAGAAAAGCAAAAUUGACUUUCUGAUAAUUCUGUGGAAAACGUCGACGUUCUAGCAGAACCCUAACGAAAAUCGCCUUCUCAGGCAUGCAAUGGCAAUGCAGUUCCAUUUUUCGUCUGCAUUUUUUUUGGUUUCAGGAACUAAAAUGGAGCAAUUUUGUUCAAUAAUCCAAUUGAUUAAGCGUUUGGCGUAUAAAUUUACAGCAACCGCUUAAAUUGUUUUAUCCCCCUUAUGGGGAGUAUUAAGCCCUUGCCGGUGGAUGUUCGUAAUUUGAUGCGUUCUGGGAUUAUAUUGUUUGACUUGACACGGGUGGUCGAAGAGCUGGUUUUUAACAGUUUGGAUGCUGGUGCUACUAAGGUAUCGGUCUAUGUGGGUGUUGGCACCUGCUAUGUAAAAGUAGUGGAUGAUGGAUGUGGCAUCUCUCGGGAUGGAUUGGUUUUGUUGGGGGAAAGACAUGUGACAUCAAAACUUCAUCAUCUAGCUGAUAUGCAUGCUGCUAAAAGGAGUUUUGGCUUCCGGGGAGAAGCAUUGGCUUCUAUUUCUGAUGUCUCCUUGUUAGAAAUUAUAUCAAAAGCUCGUGGGAGGCCAAAUGGAUAUCGUAAAGUUCUGAAGGGAUCAAAAAGUUUGUAUCUUGGAGUCAAUGAAGAUCGGAAAGAUGUUGGCACAACAGUUGUUGUUCGUGAUUUAUUUUACAACCAACCUGUUCGGAGAAAGUAUUUGCAAUCAAGCAUCAAGAAGGUUUUGGACUCGGUUAAAAAAUGUGUUCUUCGGAUUGCACUUGUGCAUUCAACAGUUUGCUUCAAAGUUGUUGAUAUCGAAAGGUGUGUACUCAUCACAUUAGCAAGUUGAAGUUUCUAUGGUUAUUAUUAGUUUCUUGACAUCAGUCAUUCUUCAAAUGUAGCGAGAAUGAGCUUCUAUGUACACGUCCUUCUUCUGCAUUGUCACUAUUGAUGAGUCACUUUGGCUUCAAUGAUUCCAGCUUUCUUCGUGAAUUGAACUUUAGUGAUAGUGUAUUAAAGCUUUCUGGAUAUAUAUCCAGUCCUUGCGAUAGUUUAACUGUCAAGGCUUUCCAAUAUGUUUGUAUCCUUCUGUCUAUUUUCAUAAACAAUGCACCAAUUUUUGGGUCAUGUUAUCUGUGGUCAGGGAUGAUUUAGUGGUAUUUUCAUUUUUUUUGGACCUUGACAAUUGCAGAUAUCAACUCACAGUUUGUCUGCAAAGGUCCAAUACACAAAUUGCUAAGUCACUUGGCCACUAGAUUUGAGUGUCUGGAUCCUUGGAAAGCUAAUAGCAUGCAUCAAAAAGGAAAGAGAUAUAAAACUCAAGCAUAUCCAGCCUAUAUUCUAAAUCUAAGUUGCCCUUUGGCUCUCUAUGAUUUAACCUUUGAGCCUUCAAAGACAUAUGUUGAAUUCAAGGAUUGGAUUCCUAUACUUAAUUUUAUUGAGAAUUGCAUUCAACAACUUUGGACGGAAAAUAUGAACUAUGGGGAAUCCUUGGGUCAUGUAACUGAUAUAGGCAGGAAAGGUGAAACAUGGAAGGAAGAUUUGUCAAAGAAUCCAAGAUGUGCAACAAAGAAGUGUGAGAUUCAAAAACACAAGUCCUCUCACCUCCAUUCGCAUUUUAAGAUGCAAAACAAAGAGGUUGACUCUAUUUAUAGUGAAGAGAGUGCCAAAAUUCAACGUCAACAGUUUUGCAUGAACAUUUCAGAAUUCAAAGAACCAGAAACUGGUAUGGAAUUUUUGUGUCAUGGUGACUACUCUAUGCAAUCAUGGAAUGGCUCCCUUUCUAAGCAUGUUUACUCAGUGGCCCAAAAGAGUGACGAUCAUCUCUGGACAUCUGUUGGAAAUUCUUUAUGGCCAGAUGAUUAUUUUCUGGAAAAUAGAUUCACUGCUAGAGAAAGAUUCAACAAUCAUGAGGAGGGCAAUAUCUUGGGCUUAGAGUGGGAAAAUCAGCCCCCUAGAAUUACAUCUGUUGAAAUAAAUGAAUCUUCUGGGAGUGAAUUUUCUUUGGAAUGUCACAAAUUUGGGAAUUACUUGGAGUUUAGCAAGAACAAAGGAAAACCUUUCUUGCAGGGUUGCUCCUCACAAACAAGCCUGAUGCUUGAUAGUUCUUUGUUUUCAAGUGAAGAUCUUGAAUAUCCAAUUGAUGGUUUCAGGACCAAAAGAAGAAGGGUUUGCAUCGAUGAAAAUGUUGACAUCCUAAAGAUUGAUGCCAGUAAUGACAUACUAGAUAUAUAUCCUGGAACUUUGCAGCAGCAUGAGGCUUCAUGCUCUCAGAAGUUUCCUUCACAUUGCAUAGGAAUUGACAUGCCUGUAGAUUUUGACAGUCUGUCACGAGCUUCUACAAAUUCAUUUUCAUUGCAUGGAAAGGUUUUUGCUGAAGAGAAAGCUUGGGCUGUUGAACAGUUCCCAGAUGAUAAUGCUCAUGAAUGGAGAGCAGGAUUGUGUGAAAUGACCAAUCAUUGGCUUGAUGCAGGUAGUCAAGAGAGGGAGGGAAACCAUAGUUACAAAAUGGCAUCAAAGAGCUCUAGCAAAGAUAACUUCAUCUCAAGUACUCUGUUAGAAUUGAAGGAUUAUGCUGAUACCACUAGAGAUAUCAGCAAAUUCCUCCAAGGUCAUAAUGUAAAUGAUGAAUCAUCACUAGAACAUUCUAAUACAAAAAUUUGUAAGAUUGAUUGGUUACCCCUAGAUUUGCCUUUUAGAGGUUGCAAAAGUGAUAAAAAGUAUGAAAGUCAAGAAAAUCAAUUUGGAUGUCAAGAUUGGAAACAAGAUCAUUUUCCUAAAGAACCACCCAGAAGAAGUCGAUCGGCUCCUCCAUUUUACAGACACAAGACGAGGUUUAUUUCCCUAAGUCGUCAUUCUAUGAUGACAGAGGGGAAUGUGCAGUUCUUCCAUGAUGGCCGUACUUCUACAGAAACUGAUGACUUGAAGCAUCCACAUUUGCAGCCAAAUUAUGCAGAGGAUUCAGUGAUCUGCACUGGGCCCAAUGUGAAGAAUGGGCAAGGCAUUAUGCUGGACGUGAAAGAUAUUAAACAAGAUGAAAAUUUCAGGCACUUGCAAUAUCUCCAGUCUCAUGAUUCUCCAGUUGAAGGCCUCACGCCAGAGGAAAUUCAGUACUCAACUGAUUAUGGGACAAAAUGGCGGAAUGGCUGUUUCCAAAUUGCAAACAACAAUGCAUUGCACAAUAUUGACAAUCAGCAUAAUAUACUUGACAUCUCUUCAGGAUUCUUGCAUCUUGCUGGCAAUUCAUUGGUACCAGAAUCUUUGCAUAGGAAUUGCCUUGAGGAUGCCAAAGUUCUUCAGCAGGUGGACAAAAAAUUCAUCCCAAUUGUGGCUGGAGGGACACUUGCUGUUAUAGACCAGGUGAUUACUGUUGUAGGUUUAGCUAAUUGGCUACAUCUUAUUUCCCUUCCAUGUUAUUCUUCACUUAUUUGGGUGUCACAGAGGAUUAACUUUCAUGCAAUUGUAAGGCUCCCACAUUGUGACCUUGAUGUUACUAGUUCAAACCACAGAAACUGCCUCCUUGCAAUUUGGAGAGCCUUACAUAGUGUCACCUCAUUAUUUUAUCUGGUAGGCAAUUUUUCAUAUGUAACAAGCUUCUUGCUUGUUAAGAAUACCUUCGUUUAGAUAUAGGCUUGAAACAAAAAUUCAUAUGCAUUUGAUAUGUAUAUCUUUAAUGGAACUACCGUUAAUAAUCAAGAUGAAAAAUUCUUAAUGAAUAUCUUUUUCAACACUGAGCAAUGACUGCUAAUCCUUAAUGUCUGUAAAUUCACCUGUAGAAGCACACAAGUUUGAUGUCCAUAUGUGCAUGUGGAUUUAUAUAACUUCUACAUACGCGGACACAUUCAUACAAUCUCAAAGGAAAGUUUUGAGUAUUUGGCAAUAUUUAUGACUUUGAUAGUGGCACUAUAUUACAGCAUGCUGCAGAUGAAAGGAUUAGACUGGAGGAACUUCGUCUAAAGGUAAUUAAAGCUAGUUUAAAUUCUGAUCUGCAUUUAUGUUAUAUAAGACAACUCAUGGACCACCUUAAUGCCCAGGUAAUAUCUGGGGAGGCUAAGACAGUUACCUAUUUGGAUGCUGAAAAAGAGCUGGUAUUCUUUGCUUCCCUUUUUUUUUAUAUGCUAUUUUGGGGCUUUGCUAUUCCCUGGAGUUAAUGGGAGUUCUAUGAGUUUGAGAUAACUAUGAACUUUAUAACAACAGAUCCUUCCAGAGAUGGUGUAUCAGCUGCUUCAUAGCUAUGCUGAACAAAUAAGAGAUUGGGGAUGGAUCUGCAACAUUGAAGCUCAAGCUUCUAGUAGCUUUAAGAUGUAAUUUCAAAUUCUCUUUAGCAAAACUUUCAUGCUAAUAUGUAAAAGAAUCGAGUCCACAAAUUUCAUAUGUGAAUUAAAUUGAGACUUAUUCAUUGGUUGGACAUGAACUGGGAUGAUUGAAAGCGGCUGAGGUGGAGUGCAUGCAUGUCUCCAUGUAUUUUUGGUUUGUAAAAGUGCUAAAUAGCUAUUGGCCUUCUGACUGGAUUUGCCUUUCUAUUAUCUCUAUAUAUUCAGCAUUGUUGUUGACUGAUUUUGGUUUCUCUUCCUACAGAAAUUUAAAUGUUCUCCACCAGCAGCCAACUGUGGUCACUCUUCUUGCGGUGAAGCACAGACUUUUUUCUGUUUCACUUCUAUUUAAUUAUUUUGCUUCCUGAAACAUGUUGAAAGAAAAUUUCUAUUCAUUCUUAAGAUAUGUUGAAGUUUGGUUGGCAUUUCGUCCAAUUUAUUUUGGAUUCAUAUUUGCUAGGUUCAACUCCUGUCACAUCCUAGCCUUUUUAGUGCUGCUAUGAUUUUUUCAUGUGAAUGGUAUGCAGGUGCCCUGCAUUUUAGGGGUCAAUUUAUCUGACAGUGACCUUCUAGAAUUUCUUCAGCAGGUAAUAUGGACUUCUGGCAUUUAGAACUACCUCACCCCUGUGAUUGCCAGCCCCACCCCUCUCUUCUCCUACUCUCUCCCCAUUUAAACAAGUCCAAUGUCUUUGCAACUCAUAUUUAUAUUGCAAUAUGUAGCUUGCUGAUACAGAUGGCUCUUCUACAAUGCCUCCAUCUGUUCUUCGCGUCCUAAAUUUUAAAGCAUGCAGAGGUGAAUGCCUCGUCUCACUGGAAAAUCUUUCUUUUCUUCCCCCCUUUUUGAAUUGUUAUAUUCUUAUUGGAGACAUUGGAACUUGUCCUUUGAAGAAAUUUAUGUUCAUUUAAUGAUGUUUCCUGUGUCAUUUCACUUUUUAGGUGCAAUAAUGUUUGGAGAUUCGUUGCUACCAUCAGAAUGUGCACUUAUUGUUGAGGAGCUAAAGCAGACUUCACUUUGUUUUCAAGUACUAUGUUUAAAUGCAUAUUUUACAGAAGUUUGGGAGUGAAUUUUGUGGGUCUCUGUGUGCAUGCAUAUUUGUGUCGUGUAAGAGGGAUGGAGAGCUCAUGUUAAAUAACAUGUGAAUUUUCUGUUUUAUGAAGUGCGCUCAUGGGCGACCAACCACUGCCCCAAUCGUCAACUUGGAGGAACUUCAUAAACAGAUAGCCAAACUUGGAGUGUUAGAUGAUGGUUCAAGUAAGUUGUGGCAUGGUCUGUGUCGGCAGGAGCCCAGUUUCGAACGCGCAGCAGAGCGAUUAAGCACAGCUAGACGUUAGUGUUGCUGUUGAUGAGAAACUGAUAACUGCUUUUUUAGAAUCAUUUUGGUAUCUCUGUGCGGAUCUAAUUAGAUACAUUCACUGUAAAGUCAUUCUUUGUCGACUGGAGUAAUAAUCAUAGUGAAUAUGUCUGUAGAGAGGUAUUUGUUUCAUUGAUUCUGUAUAAUAAGCACAUACAUGUGGUGUGUUCAAAUCUAUUUCUUCGAUUUUCUCAUUGAUUUAUUUGGGUAAAAGCAAAAAUAUGGAUACAUUGGGACAUUAGAA